AGCCCCGUAGUGUAGUGGUCAAUCAUCGGGGACUCUGGAUCCCUGGACUUCGGUUCGAAUCCGAACGGGGCUA
rnacentral:tRNA from 1 species